rnacentral:rRNA from 1 species
CCUACGGGUGGCUGCAGUGAGGAAUAUUGGUCAAUGGUCGGGAGACUGAACCAGCCAAGCCGCGUGAGGGAGGAAGGUACAGAGUAUCGUAAACCUCUUUUGUCAGGGAACAAAGACUGGGACGCGUCCCCGGAUGAGUGUACCUGAAGAAAAAGCAUCGGCUAACUCCGGGCCAGCAGCCGCGGUAAUACGGAGGAUGCGAGCGUUAUCAGGAUUUAUUGGGUGUAAAGGGUGCGCAGGCGGUCUGUUAAGUCAGCGGUCAAACCCCGGGGCCCAACCCCGCCCCGCCGUUGAAACUGGCAGUCUCGAGUUGGAGAGAAGUAUGCGGAAUGCGCGGUGUAGCGGUGAAAUGCAUAGAUAUCGCGCAGAACUCCGAUGGUGAAGGCAGCAUGCCGGCUCCACACUGACGCUGAGGCACGAAAGCGUGGGUAUCGAACAGGAUUAGAUACCCGUGUAGUC